CCUACGGGAGGCAGCAGUGGGGAAUAUUGGGCAAUGGGGGAAAGCCUGAUGCAGCGACGCCGCGUGGGGGAUGGAGGCUUUCGGUAUAUAAAGCCCUGUCAGCAGGGAAGAUAAUUACGGUACCUGACUAAUAAUGCCCGGCUAACUACGUGCCAGCAGCCACGGUAAUACGCAGGGGGCAAGCGUUAUCCGGAUUUACGGGGUGUAAAGGGAGCGUAGACGGCAGGGCAAGACAGGAGUGAAAGGAUGGGGACCAACCCCGUGACUGCUGUGGGAACUGGGCGGCUGGAGUGCGGGAGGGGUGAGUGGAAUUCCUGGUGUAGCGGUGAAAUGCGUAGAUAGCAGGAGGAACACCAGUGGCGAAGGCGGCUUACUGGACGGUAACUGACGCUGAGGCGCGAAAGCGUGGGUAGCAAACAGGAUUAGAUACCCGGGUAGUC
rnacentral:rRNA from 1 species